rnacentral:rRNA from 1 species
CGCGCAGGCGGUUAUAUAAGCCUGGUGUGAAAUACUGCAGCUUAACUGCAGAACCGCACUGGGAACUGUAUGACUGGAGUUCAAGAGGGGAAGCUGGAAUUCCUGGUGUAGGGGUGAAAUCUGUAGAUAUCAGGAAGAACAUCAGUGGCGAAGGCGAGCUUCUGGCUAUGAACUGACGCUGAGGCGCGAAAGCGUGGGGAGCAAACAGGAUUAGAUACCCUGGUAGUCC